rnacentral:rRNA from 1 species
UACGGGGGGUGCAAACGUUGCUCGGAAUCAUUGGGCGUAAAGCGCCCGUAGGCGGUCUGGUAUGUCGGAUGUGAAAGCCCUCGGCUCAACUGAGGAAGUGCAUCCGAAACUGGCAGGCUAGAGUACUAAAGAGGGUCGCGGAAUUCCCGGUGUAGAGGUGAAAUUCGUAGAUAUCGGGAGGAACACCGGUGGCGAAGGCGGCGACCUGGGUAGAUACUGACGCUGAGGUGCGAAAGCGUGGGGAGCAAACAGG